AACGAACGCUGGCGGCAGGCUUAACACAUGCAAGUCGAGCGCAGGAAAUCGACGGAACCCUUCGGGGGGAAGUCGACGGAAUGAGCGGCGGACGGGUGAGUAACACGUAAAGAACCUGCCCUCAGGUCUGGGAUAACCACGAGAAAUCGGGGCUAAUACCGGAUGGGUCAUCGGACCGCAUGGUCCGAGGAUGAAAGGCGCUCCGGCGUCGCCUGGGGAUGGCUUUGCGGUGCAUUAGCUAGUUGGUGGGGUAAUGGCCCACCAAGGCGACGGUGCAUAGCCGACCUGAGAGGGUGAUCGGCCACACUGGGACUGAGACACGGCCCAGACUCCUACGGGAGGCAGCAAUAGGGGAUCUUCCACAAUGGACGAAAGUCUGAUGGAGCAACGCCGCGUGAACGAUGAAGGCCUUCGGGUCGUAAAGUUCUGUUGUAAGGGAAGAACAAGUGCCGCAGGCAAUGGCGGCACCUUGACGGUACCUUGCGAGAAAGCCACGGCUAACUACGUGCCAGCCGCCGCCGUAACAC
rnacentral:rRNA from 1 species